rnacentral:rRNA from 1 species
GGGAUAACCAGGAGAAAUUCUGGCUAAUACCGCAUACGUAUUACGACAUGGGAAAAGUGACUAGAAAGGAUGCCUCUCCUUGGAAGCAUUUACUAAGAGAUGGGACUGCGUUGCAUUAGCUUGUUGGUCGGGGUAAUGGUCUACCAAGGCAACGAUGCAUAGGUGGUCUGACAGGAUGAUCAUGCACACUGGAACUGAGACACUGUCCAGACUCCUACAGGAGGCAUCAGUGGGGAAUAUUGCGCAAUGGGGGAAACCCUGACGCACCAGUGCCGCGUGAGUGAGGAAGGCCUUCGGGUUGAUAAGCUCUGACAGAAGGGAAGAACGGCACAUUAUCUAAUACGUAGUGUGUGUGACCGUACCUUCAAAGGAAGCACCGGCUAACUUCAUGCCAGCAGCCGCGGUAAUACGAAAGGUGCAAGCGUUGAUCGGAUUUACUGGGCGUAAAGCGCGCGCAGGCGGAUUGAUAAGUCAGAUGUGAAAUCUCGGGGCUCAACCGCGAAACUGCGACUGAAACUGGUGAUCUAGAGUUAUGUAGGGGAGAAGGGAAUUUCUCAUGUAGGGGUAAAAUGCGUAGAGAUGCUAAGGAACACCAAAGGCGAAGGGGCUUCUCUGGGCAUACACUGACGCUGAGGCGCGAAAGCGUGGGUAGCAAACAGGAUUAGAUACCCUGGUAGUCCACGCCGUAAACGAUGAGUACUAGAUUUUGGGGGAUUUGACCCCUCCAGAGUCGCACCUAACGCAUUAAGUACUCCGCCUGGGAAGUCCGGUCGCAAGACUAAACCUCAAAGGAAUUGACGGGGGCCCGCACAAGCGGAGGAUUAUGUGGUUUAAUUCGAAGCAACGCGCAGAACCUUACCUGGCCUUGAAAUCUCGAGAAGGUCGACCAAAAUUGCCCGUGCUCUUCGGAGAUCUCGAUGACAGGCGCUGCAUGGCUGUCGUCAGCUAGUGUCGUGAGAUGUUGGGUUAAGUCUCGCAACGAGCGCACCCCCUAUCCUUAGUUGCCAGCAUUAAGCUGGGCACUCUAGGGAGACUGCCUGGGUUAACCAGGAGGAAGGUGGGGAUGCCGUCAAGUCCUCAUGACCCUUAUGUCCAGGGCUACACACGUAAUACAAUGGUGCAUACAAAGGGACGCGACCCUGCGAAGGUGAGCAAAUCUCAAAAAGUGCAUCUCAGUCCGGAUUGGAGUCUGCAUCUCGACUCCAUGAAGUUGGAAUCGCUAGUAAUCGCGGAUCAGCACCCCGCGGUGAAUACGUUCCCGGGCCUUGUACACACCGCCCGUCACCCCAUGGGA